UGAGCAAUCUGCCCUUCUCAUCGGAAUAAGCGUUGGAAACGACGUCUAAUGCCGAAUACGACCUCCUUUCGCAUGAUCGGAGGUGGAAAGCUCCGGCGGAGAAGGAUGAGCUCGCGGCCUAUCAGCUAGUUGGUGUGGGUAAUGGCCCACAAGGCGACGACGGGUAGCCGGCCUGAGAGGGUGACCGGCCACACUGGGACUGAGACACGGCCCAGACUCCUACGGGAGCAG
rnacentral:rRNA from 1 species